UACGUAGGGUGCGAGCGUUAAUCGGAAUUACUGGGCGUAAAGCGUGCGCAGGCGGUUUUUUAAGCCAGAUGUGAAAUCCCCGGGCUUAACCUGGGAACUGCAUUUGGAACUGAAAGACUAGAGUGUAGCAGAGGGGGGUAGAAUUCCACGUGUAGCAGUGAAAUGCGUAGAGAUGUGGAGGAAUACCGAUGGCGAAGGCAGCCCCCUGGGCUAACACUGACGCUCAUGCACGAAAGCGUGGGGAGCAAACAGG
rnacentral:rRNA from 1 species